AUAAGUCGCUCCAUCGUCGUAUUUUCCCUCCUUUUUUGCAAUAAUUGUUCAUUCACAUUUUUUCAGAAACUAUUGCCAAUGUACUAAGUCUUAUUCAGAGAUUGUCAAUAUUGUUGGGCGUGUCCUGCUCUCCCUCUUUUAUAUUUGGUUGCUUGGUCUCACACUGAAGGUGCUAGAUGUAAUGUGGACUCAGGGCCAGAACAGAGAAGAACCAGAGCAGCUAGACUCGGGAACGCAGCCAAAAGAACGCCGAUAACCGUAAGAAACAGAAGACAAAACAUAAAAUUGGAUCAAAAUCUUACUCGCAAGUAAGCUUUGAGAAGAGAAACUUGGAACUCACCCACACGAACGACGGAACAUGGUCUAACACAGAGUCCUAGAAAGUUUG